ACGAAGGACCCAAGCGUUAUCCGGAUUUAUUGGGUUUAAAGGGUGCGUAGGCGGGUUAUUAAGUCAGUGGUGAAAGCCUUCAGCUUAACUGGAGAAUUGCCAUUGAUACUGAUGAUCUUGAGUAUGAUUGAGGUGGGCGGAAUGUGUCAUGUAGCGGUGAAAUGCUUAGAUAUGACACAGAACACCGACUGCGAAGGCAGCUCACUAAGCCAUAACUGACGCUGAUGCACGAAAGCGUGGGGAGCAAACAGGA
rnacentral:rRNA from 1 species